rnacentral:rRNA from 1 species
UACGUAGGGUGCAAGCGUUGUCCGGAAUUAUUGGGCGUAAAGAGCUCGUAGGCGGUCUGUCACGUCGGCUGUGAAAACCGGGGCUCAACUCCGGGCCUGCAGCCGAUACGGGCAGACUAGAGUUCGGCAGGGGAGACUGGAAUUCCUGGUGUAGCGGUGAAAUGCGCAGAUAUCAGGAGGAACACCGGUGGCGAAGGCGGGGUCUCUGGGCCGAUACUGACGCUGAGGAGCGAAAGCGUGGGGAGCGAACAGG